CUAGUGGCAUUGGUGGUGCGCACUGCGCAGAGAAACACGCUCUUGUAUAAUUAUGAGUCCCACACGGGAAAGAGCAACCAGAUCUCCGCAUGCCAAACAACUAUUAAAGGAGAAGCACAAUGCCAUACCAAAUCACGCAGCCGCGCGGUGAGCACAGAGCGAACUAUUCUUUCGCCUUUUACUAAAGAAUACCGUGUGCGCGCCGCAGAUAGCGGCAUACGCCUAUUUUUGGAGGGGUUCUUCCUUGUGGAAGAGCUCCUACAUCUCAGUCCCAAUUUUUUUUGAAAUUUUUCUUCAUCUGUUUAUGUUUCAAAUAAAAAAAUUAAAUCUAGUAUGUAUUGUAAAGCUGUUAAUUAUUUUUGGAUGGGGUUCUCUUUUCGGGAGCAAAAUUCCCUUGGAAGUUUCAUCGUCCCGUGCCUUCGGGUUUUUGCGUCUGUGAACACGCGGCUUGAUGCCUGCUUCGGUUUCCUCUGGUCCGAUGGCUAACUAGACGAUGCGGUAUGCGGUUUUCCAAAUUGCAAACAGCAGGAAUAAUCAGCGCUUCUGGUACCAAAAACUCCGUUCGUGACACAAUCUUAGCUAUAGCAUAUAAAAUAUGAAAAAUGAUUUAUAAAAGCUUCAAAUAGACAAGUCCACAAAUCUUUGUAAAGGAGCGAAACCCAUCUUAAAAAAGUAGAAAAAACUAUUUUUCAUUAAUAGAAUCCUAUUUUUUUCAAAGAAUUUA